rnacentral:rRNA from 1 species
AUUGAACGCUGGCGGCAGGCCUAACACAUGCAAGUCGAACGAGUGGCGGACGGGUGAGUAAUGUCUGGGAAACUGCCUGAUGGAGGGGGAUAAAUACUGGAAACGGUAGCUAAUACCGCAUACCAUCGGAUGUGCCCAGAUGGGAUUAGCUAGUAGGUGGGGUAAAGGCUCACCUAGGCGACGAGCCCUAGCUGGUCUGAGAGGAGGACCAGCCACACUGGAACUGCGACACGGUCCUGACUCCUACGGGAGGCAGCAGUGGGGAAUAUUGCACAAUGUGCGCAAGCCUGAUGCAGCCAUGCCGCUGGUAUGAAUAAGGCCUUCGGGUUGUAAAGUACUUUCAGCGGGGAUGCGUUACCCGCAGAAGAAGCACCGGCUAACUCCGUGCCAGCAGCCGCGGUAAUAC